rnacentral:rRNA from 1 species
UGUGUAGGCGGUUAGGUAAGUCAGAUGUGAAAUCCCGGGGCUCAACCUCGGAACUGCAUCCGAUACUGCCUGACUAGAGGACUGGAGGGGAGUCUGGAAUUCUCGGUGUAGCAGUGAAAUGCGUAGAUAUCGAGAGGAACACUAGUGGCGAAGGCGAGACUCUGGACAGAUCCUGACGCUGAGACACGAAGGCUAGGGUAGCGAACAGGAUUAGAUACCCUGGUAGUCC